AGGGCACCACCAGGAGUGGAGCCUGCGGCUUAAUUUGACUCAACACGGGAAAUCUCACCAGGCCCGGACACUGGAAGGAUUGACAGAUUGAGAGCUCUUUCUCGAUUCGGUGGGUGGUGGUGCAUGGCCGUUCUUAGUUGGUGGAGUGAUUUGUCUGGUUAAUUCCGAUAACGAACGAGACUCUGUCCUGCUAAAUAGUUCCAGCGUCCUUAGUGCGCUGGAAAUUCUUCUUAGAGGGACUGGCGGCGUCUAGCCGCACGAGAUUGAGCAAUAACAGGUCUGUGAUGCCCUUAGAUGUCCUGGGCCGCACGCGCGCUACACUGAAGGGAUCAGCGUGUCUUCCCUCUCCGAGAGGAGCGGGUAACCCGCUGAACCCCCUUCGUGGUAGGGAUUGGGGCUUGCAAUUAUUCCCCAUGAACCAGGAAUUCCCAGUAAGCGCAAGUCAUAAGCUUGCGUUGAUUACGUCCCUGCCCUUUGUACACACCGCCCGUCGCUACUACCGAUUGAACGUUUUAGUGA
rnacentral:rRNA from 1 species